rnacentral:rRNA from 1 species
AGUGAACGCUGGCGGUAGGCCUAACACAUGCAAGUCGAACGGCAGCACAGUAAGAGCUUGCUCUUACGGGUGGCGAGUGGCGGACGGGUGAGGAAUACAUCGGAAUCUACUUUUUCGUGGGGGAUAACGUAGGGAAACUUACGCUAAUACCGCAUACGACCUACGGGUGAAAGCAGGGGAUCUUCGGACCUUGCGCGAUUGAAUGGGCCGAUGUCGGAUUAGCUAGUUGGCGGGGUAAAGGCCCACCAAGGCGACGAUCCGUAGCUGGUCUGAGAGGAUGAUCAGCCACACUGGAACUGAGACACGGUCCAGACUCCUACGGGAGGCAGCAGUGGGGAAUAUUGGACAAUGGACGCAAGCCUGAUCCAGCCAUACCGCGUGGGUGAAGAAGGCCUUCUGGUUGUAAAGCCCUUUUGUUGGGAAAGAAAAGCAGCAGGUUAAUACCCCGCUGUUCUGACGGUACCCAAAGAAUAAGCACCGGCUAACUUCGUG